rnacentral:rRNA from 1 species
AUGUCGGUUAAGGUAGGCAACAGCUGUAACGCUCGAGACUCGGGCUGUCGUCAUGGGCAGAAACGACGCGAGAGAGCAGGCUGUCAGCGUUACAGGUGGAGAUCUUGGCGCGCGGGGACGGCGCCGCGCAAAGUUGAUCCCUUCACGCAGCGGCACCGCGUCGUGGGCAGCUGCUGCCUCCAACGUCAAGAUUGGAUCUUUAUAAUAAGGCCAGUACUAGGCGCCGGCGGCGCUAGGUUCGGCCGGUCCGGCCCCAGCCGUUGGAUCUGGUACAGUACAGCCGUCCAAAAAACAUUAUUCGGCCCGGUCUAG